ACAUCAGAAGACUGUAGGCAAUCGGACAUGUGCCGAUGAGACAUACUCUCUAUUUGGCCUUUCCAAACAGACCUGCUGCUGAUUCCCGACACUUGGACAAGAGGAUGAUUAGAGCUUUGACGCUUUGCUGGGCAAAUCUAGCACCUGCCAGUAGAGGCUGACAGUGGUCUACACACAAUGGCUGCAGAUAGAGUGUCUUGCCUUGGAGAAGCAAGCGUUACAUCCAGGUGUUCAUGGCCCAUUACAAUGGAGCAAUUCCAAAGUUUCCUAAGCAAGAUGAGCAGUACCAUAAAUAUGUGUAUGCCGUUGCCAAUUACUGCAUGAGUAACAAUAUCCUGAAUGUCAUAUUCCUUCAUUAAAAGAGCCACUGGGACAAUUAUACAUAUCUGUGAUCCAAGAGUAAGAGCAGCACAUGGAGCUCCAGAAGUAAAAGUCUGACCAAUAAUUUCCAAGGAACUGCGUGAGGUCAAGCUAGCCCCCUGUACUGCUAUUGCACUUCUGCUAAAGGGACCAAGUGAGAAAAUACUUCUUACACAUACGGUUAUAUUAAGGCUAAUCCAGCAUCAUAGUCCACAAAGCUUUUAUAUACACUAAAACCUGAGAAGGGAGGAAGGGAAAAUGUGUUUAUAUGUGGUGAGAAAAAAGUAUAAUCUUAUACAGAGAACUUUGUCUCAGCUGUUGAACAAGAAGAUCAGGACAACAUGUGCAAUAAUGCUCAACCUUCCUUCUAGUGCAAGAUAGCAUUAACAAGCACAGUGAAUGAUGAAGUUCAAUGUCUUGCAACUUACACACUCAUCAUGUCCUCCAGAGCAAAGCUAAUGCCAGACAAUGACUCCUGUGAUACACCAUGUCUUUUCUGUUUGUUUGUUUUAAUAAACUAAUGAGAGCAAGAGGAACACCAGGCACACUGCUGUGUCAGAUGUGACGUCUCCCUCAUGCACACAUGUACUUCUCCCUACCUGCAGUGGAAAGCCAUCCCAAAAACACUGUGAUAGGACUUCACAACUCCAAACCUAUCAAAAGCAUGUAGCAUUUAAAACACAGUGUUUGAGAAAUGUUUCAGGAGUUAUUAGAACUGAGUCUGUCUCUCUCCUGACUAGUUUUAGUGCCUCAGGUGAUAUGUACAGUUGCUAAUGAUCACUUUUAUUUACUGCAUAAUACUCCCUGAAAUAUAGUUGUGAAUCAGUGCUUGACAGAAUAACACAGAAACAUGGCUCCUGCCCAACAGGUAUCCAAAGCCACAAGCAGCACAAGAGUGUCAGGCACUUUAUGCUGAGCUCUCUCAAAAAAUUUGGCCUUUAAAAGAAGGAAUACUUCUCUAAAUCUUUCCCUGGGACCAAGUAUGCA